UCAAUUCAUUGGAGAGUCAAUCCAAUAUCCACCUAGAGUUUUGCCAAUUUGGAACAUAGCGUAAACUAGUCCUUUUAUUUUUAACUUGCACAAUUCUGCUCUAUUUACUAAUGUCGUGUUUUAUGCCAAUUCUAGCUCUACAUCCAUGCCAUUCUCGAAGAUGGUUACACACUCUACAUGUGGUAUAUGCUCAGUAGGCUAAUCCAUGUCCUAGAUCCUUGCUCUAGUCUCCAUGAUGCCAUGUUUGGAUGUGUCAAUGAGUUCUUUGUUGGCUGGACUACUCAGAAAGACGAUUGGGGCAUGAAGUUUCCUAUGGUGGUUGACACGAAGUUCUGACCAAGUUUAUAGCUUAUAUCGUUUCUCUAUCAAGGAGGAGUCUACUCUAGGCUUUGCGUUCUUCACCUUUUCCACUACUAUGACUGUCAAAGGCUUAAAUUCUCCCUAACCAAGUACAACAUCACCAAGCUUAAAAAGACAACCGUCCAUGAUAUUAUGAAGCUUCAGAGGAACAUGUCUCCACUUGCGGGAGAUGCUCUAUGGACUGUACUUGCGCCUUGUGAUGGUUUUCGAGAUCUUGAAUGAAAGAAGAAGCUCCUCGACUACUUAUAUCCACAAGAAUGCCGCAGUUUCCAUUUCAACUUUCUUGAAUGCAAUGCUAACUUGUUUUGCAAGCAUUUGUCACGAAACCAACUAUCUUCUAUGAUUAUCUUGGGUUUA